GUGAAAUCCAUAGAUUAGGGCCUAAUUCAUUCAUUUAUGUUCACUGAUUUCCUUAUAGGAACUGUAACUUAGCAAAAUCUUAGAAACUGUUUGCGUUUAUAUAUUUUUUCAGUGUAUAAACCAUCAACUUAGUGAAUACCAUUGGUGUUUAAUAUGAGGGUUUCAGCAUGAAAUAUCCUUUAUAUAUAUUUUUACACACUUAUUUAUUUUACUAUGUCGGUAUGUAUUUGUUGUCAAUGUUUUGGUGUCAAACUGGUGGCAGUUGGAAGAGUUUCAGAGUCUAUUGAAUAUGUUGCCAUUUGUUGAUCCGUUGCAAAACAUUGUGCUAUGGAGUAAAGCGUUUUGCUACGGUGUGCGACUAAUGAAUACAUCCCUGGUUUUACAACAACCCUGUGCAGUGAGUGUUUAGUUCAUUCUAGUUACCAGUGUUUGAUUCCUCACUAUCACAUGAUAGAUACGAGUGUCUUCGGUGUCCUGCUGCACAGACCUACUGCCACUCAGCCUUAUAGGACCAUACACACCCCAGGUACACACACACACACACACACACACACACACACUGGUCUCUCUCUCUGGUCUGACUCUCAGUUUUCCCAUCUCUUCUUCCUCCACUCUUUCCUUUCUCCCAAGGAAGUAGGAGGAUGUCCUUCGUGUUGUACCCAGAUCUGUCACUGGCUGUGUGCGUGCGUGUGUGUUUGGGUGUGUGUGUGUUCUUGUCAUGCUUUACUAUGUUGUGAGUGAUGUUGUGCCAUGUGGAGCAGGUGUCCACCCAUCUGUGCCCGAACCAUAGAGACUGCUGCUUAUGAGCUGAGCCACGGUUUCACAGUCACACUGACUCACACAUUAGACAUUUGCUGUUGAUGAUGAACACUGAGAAACACACGGGACUGUGUGACUGUGAGAUGAACAUCUAUGAAGGGAAUGCUGUAACUAUUCCACCCAGUGCAGUGUGUCUGUGUGUCUGUUCCCUCUGUCCGUCCAUAGCCAUGGGCCAGGGAUUACAGACAGGAAGGCUUAGCGAUAGGCAGAUAACCUCUCCUCUCUCAACAGCAACUGGGCCCACCUUCUCUCUCUCUCUGAUCCCCUUCCUCUGCAACUCUCUCAGGGUGUGAAACUGAAGCCCAGAUGAAGAGAUCAUUAUGAAUCUAGUUUCUGUAGAAUAAAUAUGUCUAAUCCUCUCUCUGCUGCUUAAUGACCUGGUGUCUCUUCGAGUAGGCCUUUUUACUCUGUUACUACACACUGUCAAACAAACACACACAUUUGUGUAUAUCUGUGUUUCAGGUGCAGCGUGAGUUUGAGGUGAAGGAUAUUCUGCCCCUGCUCCCGUUUAUGUCCCGCGGAGCCCAACAGAGAGCUACACGGGCUGCACAAGCCCUCCCACACACACACACACACAUACAUACAUACAUACACACACACACACACACACACACACACACAACCAUGCGUUGUGUAUGGCACGGCUCCAGGUAGGCUAACACACACACAGACUGAGGUACACUUUUGUCUCUGUGUGUGUCAGUUAAAGGCUGUGGAGGCAGAGCUUCAGUUCCAAAGGGGGCUGUCCUCCCUGCAGGCGAACCAAUCACAGCAGCUCCUUCAGGGUCUAAGACACACCUAUAGCCUGUUCCGGAACGAGAUCCAACAGAGUGUGGGAUCCACUUCAAGAUAUCUUCUCUGGUUAUCUCUGCGUUUGAGAGGAACCAAUCACUGAGAGAGGCUCUGCAGGCUCUCACACCGUCACAGGAAGAAGGUGAGGAGGCGUUGGCUCAGUGUGGGAGGAACUUCCUGCUUGCUGCUGAUAUGCUAAGGAAGGAGUGGGAAGAUCAGAGGGACAGAGCUGCAGCGGAGCUGUGUUAGCAUCAGACCAGCCUGGAUACACUCAGGAGGGAGAGACGUCACACACACACACCUGACACACACAUACUAGCCCUUGCCCAGUAUGUAAGAAGUGAUGCAGUCUCAAAAUCCCCUCUGUCAACCCUAUCCAAUCACAGCCUUCCUCAUAGAGCCCUGUUCAAUCAGAACACUCCUCACAGGGCUCUGUCCAAUGAGAGCGCAGGUCUUUCUGAUGUGACAUCCAGCAUCUCUGAGCUCUGUCACCCAGAGGCAAGCCAAUCAGAGGGCAGAGAGGAGCAGUAAGGGCCUGUCCAGACCUCCCUGGCAGAGCUGACUAAUGCAUCAUCACUGGCUGGCUGGAUUCCAAUUUUCCAAUUCUCUUCUUCCUGAAGUGUGUACUCGUUCACUACCCCUUAUAGAGGUAAAACAUUGAAUACUUUAGAGAAGAGAGAGAGGUGUUGUAAGGAGACGUACUUAGAGAAGAGAGAGGUGUUGUAAGGAGAGGUACUUAGAGAAGAGAGAGAUGUUGUAAGGAGAGGUACUUAGAGAAGAGAGAGGUGUUGUAAGGAGAGGUACUUAGAGAAGAGAGAGGUGUUGUAAGGAGAGGUACUUAGAGAAGAGAGAGGUGUUGUAAGGAGAGGUACUUAGAGAAGAGAGAGGUGUUGUAAGGAGAGGUACGUAGAGAAGAGAGUCCAUGUGUAGAUACGUCACCUCACACUGCUCCAGACACGUGUGAUAAAGUAUGUGUGUAUAUGUGUGUCUGAAGUAACCGGCACCUGUCUGUGGGUUUCAUGGGGUUAACCUGACACACACUCUCUCUGAGCUCCAGCUGCCAGUGUCUCAGUGCCUGUGUGUUAACAUGCUGUAGUGGUGAAGUGGUCCUGUACUGUCGCUCUCAAUAGAAAUGAACUGUAGGCGUUGGCUUUGAUGUUGUUAUAAAUGAAUCAAAUAAAAUAGUGUUUGUGUAUGAAGUGUGGAGUGUGUGUGUGGGUGUAGACUAUGAGUGUAGUGUUAAUAACGUAGCUGGCUUUGUCACACGGUUAGGUAAAUGACAGAAUAUAGGAACAGGAACAUAGAAGAAGCAUCUUGCUUUCUUUCUGCCCAUAUGUUUUCUGCUGUUCUUUCCAUUGUGAGGUGUAGUACCUGCGACCCUGACAUUUUCAUUUCAUUUUCCAAGUCUGCCUCCCCGCUCCCCUCUCCUCCCCUCCUCUAUCACACCUCUCCCUUUCAUCUCUACUCCUAUCUUCCUCUCCCCACAUCCUGUCCUCUUCUCCUCUGUCCCCCCCUCUCCUCCGUCUAUCUCUCACUCUACAUCCCGCUCUCCGGCUUUCUGGUGCAGCUCCUGUCUUCCUCCUGAAAGUGAAUGAAAACAAAAGAAAGAAACCAAGAUGGCGUGAGAGAUAGAGAGAGAUAAAACAAGUGAAGUUGCUCUCGGAAUGCACCUCAUUCUUUCUCUCUUGCUCUUCUCUCGUCACGUUUAAAAGAGCCUUUAUCCUCUUCUCUCUCUCGUCAUGUUUAAAAGAGCCUUUAUCCUCUUCUCUCUCUCGUCAUGUUUAAAAGAGCCUUUAUC